rnacentral:lncRNA from 1 species
AUCAUUUUUUUUUUAAAUUUGUUUUUACAUUUCCCCCCCCCCACCAUGUUAAUAAAACAUUUUGACAUUAAUGCUUAAUUUGGUAGAAGGCACAGUUAAGCAAUUUAAUAGUAAAAAAAACAAACCUAAAAUUAUAUGUAUAAGUGGGUACCUUUUUGUUUAGACAUUUGGCUCAAAGAAAAAUAUGUUGUAAAAUUUAACACAUUAGAUGCGGUCAUUUCACUGCAUUAGAGAAUUAUGGCAACUCUUAGUUGAUUUACGUAAAAUUCUCAACUUACAAUUUGUCUAUUAUUGUCAGGAUAACUAUUGAUCCAGCACGAAAAAUUGUAUCACACCUAGGACUACUGAUACUGUCUAACCGGACCUUAGAAUGGCCGGACUUAACAUGCCAGAGAAUAGUCAAAAUACUUGCCGAGGUCAGGGACACAGAACGAGGAACAGCGAUAAGGAAAAGCCAAAAGUCAAGGGUACCAGAAAUUAGGGAAGUCAAAAUGAAGCCAAAGUGAAAAAUCAGAUAUACACGAUCAGGAACACACUCUCUGAUAACCAUCAAAGGGAAACCACGACAUGGCACUGACAGGUAAUUUGGGUUUAAAUACCCCUCCUUCGGCUGUAAAUGUCCAACCUCUGACCCCAAAACGUGCGUGCACGUCUAUGACGUGACGUCGCAUGCACAAUGGCGCCAUCUUUGGUGUGGGCAAAGGUAAGUUUACUACAAAAAUCCGAACCACAACAGUCAGAGCUCCUAAGAGCGUUGCUUCGGGACCGGACUGGAGGGAGAUCGAUCAGUGGUCUGCCGCGAGCAAGGUAAGUUUGAAUUGUUUCUGGCGGCAUGGUUGCUUUCUUUAUGUGCAACCACUCCGGCAGAAUCACUGGGAGCCGUGACAAUUAUGUCUAAUUAUACACAAUGUAGCCAAUCACAAACACUCCAAUAGUUGAACUAUACUAUAAUGGUCAACACACGCAGAUAACCAUUGCACAAGUUGCUGUAUACUAACUGGACCUCUUUUGGAUUAGUAACCUUUUAUGAGGUAGCAUCAGUUGUAUUUACAAUCCCAUAGCAGUCCCAAAAUGGUCUGGCUUAUCAUAAUGGCUACCUGGGCUGACCAUGGUGGUACUUUACAGUGUAUAGGUCAUAGAAAAAAGAGGAACUUGGGGGGGGGGGGAGGUACAUGGAACAUGCAUUUUCCAGUAGUGGCUCUGUAGUAAUGACCAAAAUAUAUUCAAAAUACAUAUUAAGAACAGUGUGCACACAAUAUGGCCAUAUUGUGUUAAGUCCAGCACUGUGUCUCAGUACCCCAAGUACCAGGAUUGGUGGCCCACUGGCUUAUUAUUGCCUAGAAAACUUGCCAGAGUGCAGGAAAUCAAACUCAUUGCCUGCCUACCUUGGAAAACAAAAAUAUAAACAUUCCAUCAACACAGCUCCCUCAACAUAAUACUUUGCCAACUACAGAAUUUUAUGAAUAUAUCAGACAUCAGGAGGGUAAUGAAUUUCACACUGUAUUACAAAGUAGCAGUAAUAAGGAAAGCCAUGACCAAUUCCUAAGACACACAAACAAUCCAAGUUAAAUGACCUGUCCCAACUGUAUUCCAAUGUGUAAAUGGACAAAACCAGGACUGAUGAUGUACCUUGUGCAUGGGGUUGGAAACCGUUGGCAAAGAUCAUGUGAGUCAGGCUCCAGGAAACCUGGAAUGUUAUUCAUUACGCUGUGUGAUUUGCAAAAUUUAAGUCAAAAUAACUAGGAAGAAGCAAUAAAUGUCUGUAUUGUAUACAUGAUAUACUUGAAAUUAGAUUUGUUCUUCUGGCCAAAUACAUGUGUGAAUAAAUUAAUUGAUCGGCUACUAUCUAGCAACAAAGCGAACAUUUAUUAAAAUGUGUCUUGAUGAAUUUAUUCUUUAACAGGGUUAUUCACCAAGGACCGAGCAGUCUGGAUUAGCAAUUUUUUUCUUAAAUUUCUAAUAAAUGAGCUCAUCUCAUAGGUAUCAUUGGUACCAUCCAGUGUCGAUCCAUUUAACGAUCUGUUAAGCUCACUUGUGAAUCUUGUAUAAAAUACAGUGGAACCUCGGAACGCGAACGUUCCCGUUCACGAACCGUUCGGAAUUAGACAAAUAAUUUUGCGUUAAAAAUGCCUUGGUACGCGAACGAUCCUUGGUACCUGAACACAUCACACGGCAUUCACCUCUUUGGUAAUCUUGUUGAUAAUUUUAAGCAGUGACACCUGCUGGUUCUACGUGACUAUCAGUAGUCAGGCUGUAUUCUGGAGAGGUUGAUGGAUAUGCUGGAUGAGCUGCUCAUGUCGGGGUUUUGACUUCGAUGGGCAGUGCCCUUGCUGUGGCGGUCGCUCUCUGCAGUGGACUCUGUGGAGCUAUCUGCCAGGUCAGCUUUUGACAGCUAGAAAAUAUGACUGGAUGAGUCCUGUCCACAUGAGACUUUGGAGUCAUGACGGAGGUGAGUGCCCAUUGAGCAAUCUUUUGGGACACCCUUGUUACACAUUAGGCUUUUAGGUGGCUGGCAGAUUUCUUUGUAAAAGUGAACACAAGUACUGUAGUGACUGCAUGUUGGCGAUACAGUAGUAAGGAAGGAUUGGAUGUACAUGAUCACAUCUGGUACAUGAUAUGCCUGGAAUGGAUUAAUCAAAUUUUCAUUCAUUCCUAUGGGAAAUGUUGAUUUGGUUCCCGAACACAUUGGAACUCGAACAGCCUUCUGGAACUAAUUAAGUUCGUGCUCCGAGGUUCCACUGUAUAAGGUUUGCAUAUUUAUUAAACUCUGAAGUUUACUGGAUUCACUCCAAGCAAGUCUGGUAGCAGGCCUCCUCACCAUCGUGAUUUCAGCGGGACAUUCAAGAUUUCCGGGUCCUGUUUGACUUUGUUCCCUGGUUGACUUUUGGGUCCAAAAAUGUGCAAUUCCCUUGUCAAAUUCUCCUCUAUUUGUAGUUUUGGGGAAAACCCUGUACAAAUAUAUCUUGGCUGUACUUGGAAAAGUGGAAAAGGAGAAGUAAUUUUUUUU